rnacentral:misc_RNA from 1 species
AUCCUAUCAGUUAUCAUCGCCUUGCCCAUCUCUCUUUGUUUUCCACUUCUAGGGUCUUGUCUGAGAAAGAAGUUAGUAAAAUUAAUAAAAAUAAAAGAAAGAAAGAAAAAAAAAAAAAAAGAGANNNNNNAUUAUUAUUUUUUUUUACUACAAAUUUUCAUUGGGGGGCGGUGUGUAGAAGGUGGGAUGCACGUGACCGACGAGGGAGUUUUGGAAGAAUCAUACAGAGAGAUGGCAACAUUCACCGUGCACUGGGCUUGGCGUGUCUUCUGCUGGCAAUCUCGAUUGCCGGCAAAGUGUAAUUAUCCAUUUUGUUAAUAUACAUUGCCGUU